rnacentral:rRNA from 1 species
AACCCGACUCCACGAAGUUGGAUUCGCUAGUAAUCGCGCAUCAGCCAUGGCGCGGUGAAUACGUUCCCGGGCCUUGUACACACCGCCCGUCACACCAUGGGAGCCGGUAAUACCCGAAGCCAGUAGUCUAACCGCAAGGGGGACGCUGUCGAAGGUAGGAUUGGCGACUGGGGUGAAGUCGUAACAAGGUACC